UCCCUCAGAGCCAUAACUGGCCCUCAGAGCCACAACUGCCCCCUCAGAGCUGUAACUGCCCUUCACAGCCACCUGGUGCCCACCACCUUCCUGGUGACACCAAUGCCAACAUCUCAAGGCUCAGAAAUUGUAAAUAAUUCGCCCAGAGAGUCACAGAGAAUGAGAGAAGGGGUUGUGAAACAGGGUCUUGGCCUAUCAGUGAAAGAGGUGCCAUGGCCUCGAAGGAGGGACCUGGCACAAAGGGCCACCUGGGCUGUUAUGGCACAGUUGUCACCGGCUGUGUCUCCUGUCAGCUGGCUGGGCCGCAGGAUGUAAAUGUGGGUUUAAGUGCUGUUCAGAAGCUGGGCCCCGGGGCAGUGGGUCACAUCUUGCUUGCCAAGGAAUCCUGUGAGGGACUUUGCCUAAAACUGAACAGGGGGCACCUCCCCAAACGACCCCCAGAGCCCCCCGAGUGAAUCCGUGCUGGCACAGAAACAAGGAUUGCAUAAGAUUGAUUGCACCGGCUAAAUAAAUGUGCAUCAGAGCAUCACAACCCUCUGCUGAGGGCACGUCCAGAGCAAGAUGUGGAGCAGAGUGACUUCAGAGCCCGCCAGGAUCCAGGUGACAGUGGGAUGUCAUUCCAACACUCAGCCUCAGCCCCCUGUCACUGGCGUUUGUUGUUACUCAGCUGAUCACAGCUGACCUUUCCCAGGAGGACUGGGGCAAAACAAAUCUCUGUGUGCUUGGAAUCACAGAGACACGGGGGCGGUUGGGCUGGAAAAACCCUCGGAGGGCACCAAGUCCAACUGUUCCCCCAGCACUGCCAAGGCCACCACUCACCCCUGUCCCCAAGGGCCACCUCCACAGGGCUCUGAAAUCCCUCUGCCAGGGACAACAGAGGAGCUGGGAGUUCAGCUGCCAGAGGGCAGGGAGAGAGGGGAUAUUGGGAAGGAAUCCUUCCCUGGGAGGGCAGGGAGGCCCUGG